AUUGAACGCUGGCGGCAGGCCUAACACAUGCAAGUCGAACGAGUGGCGGACGGGUGAGUAAUGUCUGGGAAACUGCCUGAUGGAGGGGGAUAACUACUGGAAACGGUAGCUAAUACCGCAUACCACCAUAUGUGCCCAGAUGGGCUUAGCUAGUUGGUGGGGUAACGGCGUACCAAGGCGACGAUCCCUAGCUGGUCUGAGAGGAUGACCAGCAACACGGGAACGGAGACACGGUCCAGACUCGUACGGGAGGAAGCAGUGGGGAAUAUUGGACAAGGGGCGCAAGCCUGAUGCAGCCAUGCGGCGUGGAUGAAGAGGGCCUUCGGGUUGUAAAGUACUUUCAGCGGGGAGGCGUUACCCGCAGAAGAAGCACCGGCUAACUCCGUGCCAGCAGCCGCGGUAAGUC
rnacentral:rRNA from 1 species